ensembl:lncRNA
AUGGAAGGGGAACGCGUGGUGUUUAAGACACUCAACCCUCCCUCUCUGCCAUACACCUCAGUCAGCUGGAGGUUUGGAGAUCAGGAUAUCAUCGUGCUCAACUCUACGACAUGUGCGGCGUACACUGACAGAGUUUCUCUGGAUAACACCACAGCCGCGCUGGAGAUGAGAAGGUUGACACUCAACGAUGCUGGGCGCUACUUUUUGACUAUAGUUACAGAGGAGGGUGAGGAACACACAGGAAAUACCACACUGGAGGUCUACGGAGCGGGUGGAUUGAGUAAGGGAGUCAUCACGGCACUCGUUACAUUGGGUGUGAUCGUUGUCGGAGCCAUCAUUGUUGUGCCAUGCUAUUUCUAUUGCAAGAAAAGGGGGUGAGUUACAUCAAACAGCACACUAUGACAAUGUUGCGUGGUCUAUGUCUAUUGUUUUUUGAGUGUAAAAUUCUCAUUUGUAGUUCCACGUUGGUGCAACGAACUGCCUAGUACUACCAGAGCAGGGGCGUCCCUCUCUACCUUCAAGAAGCUUUUGAAGACCCAACUCUUCAGAGAGCACCUCCCUUCCUAACUGGCACCUUGACUAGCGCUUAACUUGCACUUCAGCAGUUACAUUUCUGCACUUCUUUUUCCUUUUUUCUAGGUCGUUGUUUUCUAAUUCUCAUGUAAAGUAGUAUUUAUUGUUACACCAUGCUUUUUAUUGCUCUUAGCUUGACUGUUCUCUCCCUUGUACGUCGCUUUGGACAAAAGCGUCUGCUAAAUGACUAAAUGUAAUGUAAAUGUAAAAUGUAACAUCAAACAGCACACUAUUACAAUGUUGCAUGGUCUAUGUCUAUUGUUUUUUGAGUGUAAAAGUGUGUAAAAGAUUACACUAGAAAAGCGGCUAGUUUAGGAACGGUUGAUUUGUUUGUACUCUUGUAAACACGCUAUUUUCAUCCAGCAAUUUAAUGCAUUUAAUUCUACACAGUUGAAUGGAUGUCUCCGCUACAUGUGCACAAGGUGCCAUUAUGUGAUGACUGCUAUGCCAACAACUAAAUGAAACUAGCAGUUUCACUUUCUGUGUAAAUGUCAGAGUGGUGCAUCGCCUAACCCAUACGUUAGGGGGGCGCUAGUGCCAUUAAUGAACGUAGCUUUUCUGUCUGUUUCAGUCUGUCCAUUGCCUCUUGAGCUUUGUACUAUUCCAUUGCAAAUGAAAUGUUUACAUUAUACUGCUGUAUCAUUCUAACCUCUCUCUUUCUCUCUCUCUCUGUCUGUCUGUCUGUCUGUGUGUGUCUGUGUGUUUGUGUAACUGUGUCUCUGUGUGUGUCUGUGUGUGUGUCUGUUUGUGUGUGUGUGUGUGUGUGUGUGUGUGUGUGUGUGUGUGUUUGUGCAACUGUGUCUGUGUGUCUGUAUUUCCAUAUCUGCACAUGUAGAGUAUUUUCAGAAGUAUAUACAGAGAGAGGUCAGUAAACUUUUAUGAAAUGUUUUUCACUGUGUCAAUAUACAGUACCCACUGUUCCAACAAUAUUUCCCAAUAUUAUCAUGUUGUUGUGGGAAAUAUUAUCAUGUUGUUGUGGGGGAUAUCCAAUGAACUGGUCAGGUUUAAGAUGGCACUUGAACACAUCAGAGCCCAGAAAAGUAAGUAUGAAUGUUGUUUCUGCUCACUGAGGAGUUUGUCUGUUUUCUCUGCUUUUCAUGAUCAGAUACCCGUACCUAACCAUGACCACCCCUACAUUUUAAUCUCGAGAGUUGGUAAGAUUUACAUUUCAUUUCAUAUUUACCCUUUGGUCAAAUCAAACGCUUAGCUUAUACUAUAUACAUGACUACAAUGUAGAAUUCUGAAGUUCUAUUCUUUUUUUUACAGAAAGGUACCAAAAUUGGGAGGUGCCAUCUGACUGGCUGUUUAUAAAGAGUGAAGGUUCACAGAUACAGUAUCUGACAGUUGACCAACAAUAAAGUGCACAUUAAACCUGCCCUGAGUUUCCUG